rnacentral:rRNA from 1 species
GAUGAACGCUGGCGGCGUGCCUAAUACAUGCAAGUCGAGCGAACAGACGAGGAGCUUGCUCCUCUGACGUUAGCGGCGGACGGGUGAGUAACACGUGGAUAACCUACCUAUAAGACUGGGAUAACUUCGGGAAACCGGAGCUAAUACCGGAUAAUAUAUUGAACCGCAUGGUUCAAUAGUGAAAGACGGUUUUGCUGUCACUUAUAGAUGGAUCCGCGCCGCAUUAGCUAGUUGGUAAGGUAACGGCUUACCAAGGCAACGAUGCGUAGCCGACCUGAGAGGGUAAUCGGCCACACUGGAACGGAGACACGGUCCAGACUCCUACGGGAGGCGGCAGUAGGGAAUCUUCCGCAAUGGGCGAAAGCCUGACGGAGCAACGCCGCGUGAGGGAUGAAGGUCUUCGGAUCGUAAAACUCUGUUAUUAGGGAAGAACAAAUGUGUAAGUAACUAUGCACGUCUUGACGGUACCUAAUCAGAAAGCCACGGCUAACUACGUG